rnacentral:rRNA from 1 species
UACGAACCGUCCAAACGUUAUUCGGAAUUAUUGGGCUUAAAGGGUAUGUAGGCGGCGCUGUUAGUCGGGUGUGAAAUCCCUCGGCUCAACCGAGGAAUUGCGCCCGAAACUGCAGUGCUUGAGGGAGACAGAGGUAAGCGGAACUGAUGGUGGAGCGGUGAAAUGCGUUGAUAUCAUCAGGAACACCGGUGGCGAAAGCGGCUUACUGGGUCUCUUCUGACGGCUGAGAUACGAAAAGCUAGGGGGAGCGAAAGGGGG